GUGCCUCCCGGGCCCUCGCCAGCUCCAGAUGCGUGAGGAGGACUUCAGAAACCCGACUGAGAAGUGGAGCGACCCCCAGGGAGGGUCGGACCUGCCUCAAUACCGCCAAGACAUCUGUGGAAUUUAAGAACAGUAUGGAGCUCAUCAGAGUAUAUCAUUGAAGAAUAUGAUGGCUGAAAACAAUUUAAAAAUGCUAAAGAUUCAACAGUGUGUGGUAGCCAACAAACUACCUAGAAACAGGCCAUAUGUUUGCAAUAUUUGUUUUAAGCACUUUGAAACACCAUCAAAAUUAGCUAGGCACUAUCUCAUUCAUACUGGUCAAAAGCCAUUUGAAUGUGAUGUGUGUCAUAAAACCUUUAGACAACUAGUUCAUCUGGAGAGGCAUCAACUAACUCAUAGUCUGCCUUUUAAAUGUAGUAUUUGUCAGCGUCACUUUAAAAAUCUGAAGACAUUUGUGAAGCACCAACAACUUCACAAUGAAACCUAUCAGAAUAAUGUUAAACAGGUCAGAAGAUUGCUGGAGGCCAAGCAAGAAAAGUCAAUGUAUGGAGUGUAUAAUACUU
rnacentral:lncRNA from 1 species